rnacentral:rRNA from 1 species
CCUACGGGAGGCAGCAGUGGGGAAUAUUGCACAAUGGAGGAAACUCUGAUGCAGCGACGCCGCGUGAGUGAAGAAGUAAUUCGUUAUGUAAAGCUCUAUCAGCAGGGAAGAUAGUGACGGUACCUGACUAAGAAGCUCCGGCUAAAUACGUGCCAGCAGCCGCGGUAAUACGUAUGGAGCAAGCGUUAUCCGGAUUUACUGGGUGUAAAGGGAGUGUAGGUGGCCAUGCAAGUCAGAAGUGAAAAUCCGGGGCUCAACCCCGGAACUGCUUUUGAAACUGUGAGGCUGGAGUGCAGGAGGGGUGAGUGGAAUUCCUAGUGUAGCGGUGAAAUGCGUAGAUAUUAGGAGGAACACCAGUGGCGAAGGCGGCUCACUGGACUGUAACUGACACUGAGGCUCGAAAGCGUGGGGAGCAAACAGGAUU